GUAGGUGAACCUGCGGAAGGAUCAUUAACGUAUCUCCGAGUCCGCCGGUCGGCGUCGACCGCUCCGGCCCCCGGCCGUUGCAGCGGGCCGUCGUGCCGCGGCUCGAAACCACAAACCCACCGUGCUCCUUUACGGCCGAGGGUGUCGGUGAGAGCCGCGCCCGAAGCCGCAUUCGAAACAGACUCCAGUUUAAAAGAAUGUAUAGGGUCGACUCUGAUCGCCCACAAAUUGAAACAACUUUCAACAACGG
rnacentral:misc_RNA from 1 species